GGAGAGCUCAGAGCCAGAGCGAUUGAUAUCGCUCAACACAGCGUAAAGCUCCAGCUGUGUUGAUUAAGCGACUGAUGUCCCUCUGCGGCAGCUACUUAUUUUAACUGCAGUUGCAGCGUUGCGCCACUAUUGAGGCGCUAUAUCAACAGCGGUGCACCGGAAAGACCUGAAGCAACUACCGAAGAAGAAACAGAUCGACUCGUGUUUUUUCCAGUUUUUUCCCGCUAGUUGGUGCUAUUGGCGUCCUGAUUUUCCCUGGCGGAUGGUACAAACAGGUGAAGACACCUCUGCGCAACAGACUGAAGGAGAGGCACUUGGAUGUCUGUUGUAAGGUGGCCAUUGAUGGACCAGACCAGGAGGCCUUGGACUACAAGGAGUGCAUGAGGAGGUUCUACAGAAUGAAAAAGAGGAGGCUGAAAUGUUCUCUGUCUGGUUGCGAGAUGUGUGGAUAAAGUGUACUUUCAAUUUAAAGUUGGCACCUGAUUUGUGUAUGUAUAUAGUUUUAAUAAAUGAAUGC